UACAGAGGUCUCGAGCGUUGUUCGGAUUCAUUGGGCGUAAAGGGUGCGUAGGUGGCGCUGUAAGUCAGGUGUGAAAUUUCGGAGCUUAACUCCGAAACUGCAUUUGAUACUGCGGUGCUUGAGGACUGGAGAGGAGACUGGAAUUUACGGUGUAGCAGUGAAAUGCGUAGAGAUCGUAAGGAAGACCAGUGGCGAAGGCGGGUCUCUGGACAGUUCCUGACACUGAGGCACGAAGGCCCAGGGGAGCAAACGGG
rnacentral:rRNA from 1 species